rnacentral:rRNA from 1 species
AUUGAACGCUGGCGGCAGGCCUAACACAUGCAAGUCGAACGGUAACAGGAAGCAGCUUGCUGCUUUGCUGACGAGUGGCGGACGGGUGAGUAAUGUCUGGGAAACCGCCUGAUGGAGGGGGAUAACUACUGGAAACGGUAGCUAAUACCGCAUAACGUCGCAAGACCAAAGAGGGGGACCUUCGGGCCUCUUGCCAUCGGAUGUGCCCAGAUGGGAUUAGCUAGUAGGUGGGGUAACGGCUCACCUAGGCGACGAUCCCUAGCUGGUCUGAGAGGAUGACCAGCCACACUGGAACUGAGACACGGUCCAGACUCCUACGGGAGGCAGCAGUGGGGAAUAUUGCGCAAUGGGCGCAAGCCUGAUGCAGCCAUGCCGCGUGUAUGAAGAAGGCCUUCGGGUUGUAAAGUACUUUCAGCGGGGAGGGAGGGAGUAAAGUUAAUACCUUGGCUCAUUGACGUUACCCGCAGAAGAAGCACCGGCUAACUCCGUG